CCGGGGUUUCUUUACCAGGUACUGUCAUUAUCAUCCCUGGCGAAAGAGCUUUACGACCCUAGGGCCUUCAUCACUCACGCGGCAUGGCUAGAUCAGGCUUUCGCCCAUUGUCUAAGAUUCCCCA
rnacentral:rRNA from 1 species